rnacentral:rRNA from 1 species
UACGGAGGGUGCGAGCGUUUGUCCGGAAUCACUGGGCGUAAAGGGCGCGUAGGUGGCUUGGCAAGCGUGUGGUGAAAGCCCCGGGGCUCAACCCCGGGGUCUGCCGUGCGAACUGCUAUGGCUUGAGCACUGUAGAGGCAGGUAGAAUUCCGGGUGUAGCGGUGGAAUGCGUAGAGAUCCGGAAGAAUACCGGUGGCGAAGGCGGCCUGCUGGGCAGUGGCUGACACUGAGGCGCGACAGCGUGGGGAGC